AGCCCAGACUCCUACGGGAGGCAGCAGUGGGGAAUAUUGCACAAUGGGGGGAACCCUGAUGCAGCGACGCCGCGUGGGUGAAGGAGCACCUCGGUGCGUAAAGCUCUAUCAGCAGGGAAGAAAGAAAUGACGGUACCUGACUAAGAAGCCCCGGCUAACUACGUGCCAGCAGCCGCGGUAAUACGUAGGGGGCAAGCGUUAUCCGGAUUUACUGGGUGUAAAGGGAGCGUAGACGGCAGUGCAAGUCUGAAGUGAAAGGCGGGGGCCCAACCCCCGGACUGCUUUGGAAACUGUGCUGCUGGAGUGCAGGAGAGGCAAGUGGAAUUCCUAGUGCAGCGGUGAAAUGCGUAGAUAUUAGGAGGAACACCAGUGGCGAAGGCGGCUUGCUGGACUGUAACUGACGUUGAGGCUCGAAAGCGUGGGGAGCAAACAGGAUUAGAUACCCGUGUAUA
rnacentral:rRNA from 1 species